AAAAAAAAAUAAAUAAAUGAGGGGAGGAUUUUCUUUAAGGUUUUUCAUACAAAAAUCAUGAUUUACGAAGAUCCAACAGUCCAAACUCAAAUCCGAUUUCGGAAACGUGAUCUAAGAAGUCCCAUCUACGUUUCUACCGAUUGGUUUGAGGAUUUGUUGUGAAAAGCUUGCUAAACACUCUCCAAGUGUUGGAUUUACAUUUGGUGAAUUUUUUGUGAUACAUUGCAAGGUGGUGUCUAGGAGAACUAAGCUUGAUAUCCGCGCAACCAGACUCUGAUGUUUUGACUGCAGGUUUAAUGGAUCUAAUGAAUGUCGUCGUAGCAUAGUACUUGGGAUGUUAUGACCAAAGCCCGACGCGACAGUUAUAAUGGUUGGACCAUGGGUUGUCCACCUUUUAGUAGAUUUUGUUUAUGGCUCGUGUCGCAUGUGACAAUUGUAUUUAUGAGCCAGACUUUUGGUACGCAUUUAAUAGUUAUAUAGAAGUCUUAAACAGAUAGACAUAUUAAUGGCUCUUUUGUUGUAAUUAACUGUUGUUU